rnacentral:misc_RNA from 1 species
ACAAAAACUGAACCAGGAGCUCUCUCUUAUUAUUAAAACAGUAUCAUUCUUGAACAACAUGACUUAAAACAAGAUCUCCACAAUUCACUUCCAGGGAAAGGGAUUAAAGUUUUAACCAACAAAGAGACCAUUAAUUAUUCCGAAUUUUUGCACCAACAAGAAUACGAGGUGUGACCAUACAGUGUCUGCAAUUCACGGAAAAGAUAGUUUAAAACUAGUUUAACAAAUUCUACACUUUACGAGCCAAUGUCCUCUGUUUAGUAGCAUGCUGGACUACUUUCUCCUCCACAGGCAAGCCCUUCCGUCGCCUUACGGCAUUGAUGAGCUUUCUUGCUGUAUUAGGUAGAACGCUGGAACCAUCUCCAAACUCUUCAAUUUCCUCUUCUGUUUUUGGUACAAAGAAAGGAUCCUCGGGAAGUGCUUCCCAAUGGCUAAGAACAAGGAGAGCACUUGCAGCUCCUGAAGUCCAUCUUCUAAGCUCAUCAGCAAAACCAAAGCUCUCAGAAACUGGGACAUAUGCGUGAACUGUGAAAAGUGGAGAUCCUUCUUGCAUCUCCUCCUUCAAGACCCGAGCCCGUUUCCGAUUAAGCACUGCAUACAUGGAGCCCAAAUAUUCAGUUGGGGUGUUCAACUCGCAAAAAUACAUUGCUUCAACAAGCCGAGGUUUAUUCUGAAUUACAGCUGCUCUACAUGCAUCCUUGACAGCUGUCAUAACCUGUCCAGUGAAGAUGCCAUACUGCUCAGACUGUUGAUUAAUGUCAGACUCAUCAGACUGCUCAGCUAACGGAGAUAUGUAAACAUCAACCACAAAUGCCACUCCCCACAUUUGUUCAUCACAUAAAGGUCCAGCUGCUGUUGCAAGUUGGAAUCCAGACACUACGCUGUUCUGAAGACUCUCUGCUUCCAUGUCUAAUGCUUGAGUUUCUUCAGAGGAUGUGUCGGCAGGUGUAUCACCAUCACUGUAAUUAUCAACUAAGCCUAAUCUUUCAGAUACAUGAGGAGAACCCCGUACAAGAACAGAUAAAUCAUUGCUCUUGCUUUUCAAAUCUGAAGUGAAGAGGAUAUUAGGGCCAACCUGUCCUGGACCAAGUGCCCAAAUCCUCCUAAGAAAUUUUUGCCACUUAAGUUUGUAUUUUUCAGCCCGAUCCUUGU